rnacentral:tmRNA from 1 species
GGGGGCGACCAGGUUUCGACGCGGGUCGCGAAGCAGCACAGGGCAUGCCGAGGACCAGUGACCUCGUAAAUCCAUCUGGAAACACCAUAAACGCCAACGACGAGCGUUUCGCUCUCGCCGCCUAAUACCGGCGAGACGCUGCACUAGCCUGCUGAUGGGCUAGGCCCCGAGAGGGGUGCAGCGUCAUUUACAUCAGCCUCUCUGCGGGGUCUGGCCGCUUGGCCCCGUGGAUCCGUCGAAGCGGCUGGCUGAGCGUCAGCCUGCCGAUCGGCGGGCGCGAGGCGAGAUCCAAAUGAUCAGGCUAAGCAUGUAGUCCUGGCUGUCUAGGGCUUGCGGACGCGGGUUCGAUUCCCGCCGCCUCCACCA